UACGUAAGUGGCGAGCGUUGUCCGGACUUACUGGGCGUAAAGGGAGCGUAGGCGGAUUUUUAAGUGAGAUGUGAAAUACUCGGGCUCAACUUGAGUGCUGCAUUUCAAACUGGAAGUCUAGAGUGCAGGAGAGGGGAAUGGAAUUCCUAGUGUAGCGGUGAAAUGCGUAGAGAUUAGGAAGAACACCAGUGGCGAAGGCGAUUCUCUGGACUGUAACUGACGCUGAGGCUCGAAAGCGUGGGGAGCAAACAGG
rnacentral:rRNA from 1 species